rnacentral:rRNA from 1 species
ACGUACACUCCUACGGGAGGCAGCAGUGGGGAAUAUUGGACAAUGGGGGCAACCCUGAUCCAGCCAUGCCGCGUGAGUGAUGAAGGCCCUAGGGUUGUAAAGCUCUUUUGUGCGGGAAGAUAAUGACGGUACCGCAAGAAUAAGCCCCGGCUAACUUCGUGCCAGCAGCCGCGGUAAUACGAAGGGGGCUAGCGUUGCUCGGAAUCACUGGGCGUAAAGGGUGCGUAGGCGGGUCUUUAAGUCAGGGGUGAAAUCCUGGAGCUCAACUCCAGAACUGCCUUUGAUACUGAGGGUCUUGAGUCCGGAAGAGGUGAGUGGAACUGCGAGUGUAGAGGUGAAAUUCGUAGAUAUUCGCAAGAACACCAGUGGCGAAGGCGGCUCACUGAUCCGGUACUGACGCUGAGGCACGAAAGCGUGGGGAGCAAACAGGAUUAGAUACCCGGUAGUCCC